rnacentral:misc_RNA from 1 species
GGUGGAAGGGUUUGAGCCGGGGCAGAGGCUGGCGAUUGACGAGCUUUUUAAGGAGGGUGAUUUGGUGGAUGUGUCCGGGAACUCCAUUGGCAAGGGGUUUCAAGGGGGGAUCAAGCGACACAAUUUUGCCCGUGGGCCGAUGAGCCAUGGUUCUAAGAGUCACAGAGCCCUGGGAUCAAUUGGUGCUGGAACAACUCCAGGACAUGUUUACAAAGGGAAAAAGAUGCCUGGUAGGAUGGGAGGUACCAAGACAAAAAUUCGGAAGUUGAAGAUUGUCAAGAUAGACAAUGAUCUCCGCAUCGUCAUGAUAAAAGGGGCGGUUCCUGGGAAGCCUGGAAAUCUUCUUCGCAUAACCACAGCCAAGAUUGUUGGGAAGAACAUACCGAAGAGCUAACGCGACAGAGAUGAAUGCCAGGUUUUGUGUGUAUCUGAAUGCCUGUUUCUUCUUUUAACUUCCUUCUUUCUUCAUUUUUUUUCUUGUUCCAAUGUGCUAGAUUUU